UUCUGGAAAAGGAGUGCUUAUCUAGCAGGUGUUCACAUUCCAAGCCAAACCUAUUGUUGGCCUGCGUGUCCUCCGAGUUGCCAGUCUGAAACCUGCCUUACCUCAGCCGUCUGUCUCACACAUUCUCACCACGGCCAUGUGGUCUGCGUUUGUGUUCCUGUUCCACAGACAUGCAGAGGGUAGCUCGGCCUCAGACCCCGUGACGUAAGUCUCCUCUGCACCCUGUCAUGUCAGCCCUUCCCAAGACUGCAGCCGAGACGUGUGAGAAGCCGGCCCGGGACCACGCUGACCCUGCGGUCUCCAGCGGCCUGGUCACCACCCCUUCCUCGAGAAGACAACGUCCCCCAAGUAAAAAGUAAGAUGGACUACUAGAAUGGCUUCCCCCAAGAGGCCCGUGCCCUAAUCCCUAGAACCUGUGAGCACACGCUACACGGAUGGAGGAAUUGAAGUCGCUGCCCAGUUGCCCUAAAGAAAUCCCUGUCUACAUCUGCUCUUCUUGAGCCUCACAACAGCCUGUUUCAGCAGCUGACUGGAGGGCUCGCCCAGCACACCCUCAGCUGAAAAUCUGCAUCAUUCCACAAGCUUGAUUCUGCAGGGAAAGUGCAGUGUGGCGGGAACAAGGGUCGCUGGGAAGCGCUGUUCCGGCUGGCAUCAGUGAGGGAAGGGGGCAGACACUAUGAUCAGGCAAAUAUACAAGUGAUAUCAACUCUUCUGAAGACAGGAGGGCAAGUGAAACAAAGGAGGACCCUUGAAAAGGAUCUGAAGGUGAAGGCUCUGGCCACCCUGGGCCAUCCUGAGCAGGGCACCUGUGCCCACCCUCUGCCGAAAUAGGCCUCCAAGGGUAACUUCUGGCUUCUCUGCGGUGGAUUUCAGACCUCAGAGCAUAAGCAAGCAGGAACACACUAUUGGCUCCAGGCCACAUUUUAUAUUUGCAUUUGCAUUUGUACUUGUGGGAAAGCUUACUUGUUUUAAAGGCACUGAUAAAUGUUUUUAGUUCUUUUCCUGUAAUACUGAGCUAUUAUUAAAA